UACGUAGGCAGCAAGCGUUGUUCGGAGUUACUGGGCGUAAAGGGUGCGUAGGCGGCUUUUUAAGUUUGGUGUGAAAUCUCCCCGGCUCAACUGGGAGGGUGCGCCGAAUACUGAGAGGCUAGAGUGUGGGAGAGGAAAGUGGAAUUCCUGGUGUAGCGGUGAAAUGCGUAGAUAUCAGGAGGAACACCGGUGGUGUAAACGGCUUUCUGGACCAUAACUGACGCUGAGGCACGAAAGCGUGGGUAGCAAACAGG
rnacentral:rRNA from 1 species